rnacentral:rRNA from 1 species
GAUGAACGCUGGCGGCGUGCCUAAUACAUGCAAGUCGAGCGAAUGGAUUAAGAGCUUGCUCUUAUGAAGUUAGCGGCGGACGGGUGAGUAACACGUGGGUAACCUGCCCAUAAGACUGGGAUAACUCCGGGAAACCGGGGCUAAUACCGGAUAAUAUUUUGAACUGCAUGGUUCAAAAUUGAAAGGCGGCUUCGGCUGUCACUUAUGGAUGGACCCGGUUCCCAUUAGCUAGUUGGUGUGGUAACGGCUAACCAAGGCAACGAUGCGUAGCCGACCUGAGAGGGUGAUCGGCCAACCUGGGACUGAGACACGGCCCAGACUCCUACGGGAGGCAGCAGUAGGGAAUCUUCCGCAAUGGACGAAAGUCUGACGGAGCAACGCCGCGUGAGUGAUGAAGGCUUUCGGGUCGUAAAACUCUGUUGUUAGGGAAGAACAAGUGCUAGUUGAAUAAGCUGGCACCUUGACGGUACCUAACCAGAAAGCCACGGCUAACUACGUGCCAGCCGCCGCCGUAA